AUUGCGUCAAAAAUAUUGUGUGGCGGUACAACUAGCGCCACGGUCCUACAUCGCGCUAUCGAAGUUUUGUAAGUAUGUCGGCGCGAUUUAU